CGAUUCUACGUGCACAUCGCCUAAAUAGCCUAAAAUUAAAAUGUCUAAGUUUUAAUCAUAUUUUAGACGGCGGAUUUAACAAGUGCUAUUCCAGAACGUCAAGCUGACUAAAUUUAGCCAGAUUUUAGACGGAUUCUAAAAUUUCUAAGUUGAAUUGAGUGUGUUGCCACUUUAAAAAAAUAAGUGAACGAAUGAAUGAAUGAUAUCUGUAUAAAAACUGUGAAAUCGUAUUUUCUUUUGGGUGAAAUAUGAUAAUUUAAUGAAUUUUAUUCCAUUACAUAUAUUUAACACUAGUGUACACACCUUAGACCACUAAAACGUUACUUUUUAAUUAUGUAAUUAAAAAUAAUUAAUCAAAUUUUAAUAGGCAACAUUUAAAAAAAUCUGCUGUCAAGUACGAAGAAGUUUGUAAACUUGUUUGUAUUCCAAUUUGUUUGGUUUUGUUUGUGGAAAACGUGGAAAAUGUCGGUGUCGCGAAAGCGGAGCAAUAAAACGCAACAGGAGGUGCUCGUAGAGCAUCUCCAUGCUAACUUGAUGUUAGCAAGAGGAAAUACGGCUAGCCCCAAAGUGGCAGCAUUUUAGGCGGCCCUAACUGUUACUCUUAAUAGUCACGGAUGUCGAAGGACAGUGGCGGAGUGGCAGAGUAUUUGGUCGCAGUGGACACAGAAGGUCAAAUCUAAGUACAGAAAAUACAGAGAUCAAACGGAGGGCACUGGUGGAGGUCCUGCAUUAGUCCGCCCACUGACAGACACAGAACUUAAGGUUUUGGAGGUCGUAGGAACAGCUGCAGUGGAUGGAUUUACCAAUCUGGAGACUCCACUAGUUGGUUCUGUUGAAAUUUCAACACCGGCACCAGUUGAUGAACAACCACCAGUUGCUGCCCAGCUGCCAAUUGCUAUCCAGCCAUCAGUCGCUGACCACCCACCAGGUGCUGUCCAGCCACCAAUUGCUGUCCAGCCAUCAUCUGCUGCUGUUCAACCUCCAUCAUCUUCAGCCCAAUUGCGGAGUUCUCAUAGGCCAGAACGUACUCUUCCUCGCUCAUUUAUUACCUCGUCGCAACGACGACAGCGGAAAAGACCUUCGCGGCCCAAACCAGCAGAAUUACUGCAAGGGUCAUUAGACCGGAAUCAUGAAUUAUUCCGGUCUACAAUAACACAGGCAGCAGAGACCUUAGCCACUGCCAUCAGAGUAGCAGGGGAGGCCAUUUCCUCGGCUAUUAGGAACCAUGGUGGUUUACAGAACAAUGAUGGUGGUGGGCAGUCGGUAGAAUAUUUAGACGAAGAUCUAUUAGAGUAACAGUAGGAGCCAUCCAAUUUGUUGUUUCUUUAGUAAGUUAGCGAUAUUUAUUGUUAUUUUUUGUAUGAAAAUAUUUGACCCCUCCCCUUAUUCGGGCUUCUCUUCGCUCCAACUUUUCAUACAAACAUAGUUCUUAUUUGAAGACGAGCCAACAAGUCAUUAAAUGUUUGUACACAUAUUUCUAAAGGGAAUAUUCCUUUGCUUUGCUAGCUUUUGCUAAAAUUGGAGGUUGUCAAUCUACAUAUCUAAGCUUAAUGAUUUUUGUUCAAAAUGUAUUCUCCGUUUAGUUUGAAACAACAUAUCUUUACAAAAUUUUGACAAACCACAUGUACUCGUUUUUAGAAUAUAUCUACAAAUCUUUAUUGACUUUGAUGGUCUGUUUUCAAUUGAGAACGACGUACUUUUACGUUCGUAUGAAAAGUGAAGCGGAAAACUAGCGUUUACUUGCAAAACUAGUGACAUUUUGAUUUACCAACAACAAGCGGAAUAGAGUUGCAAUUUUGCAAGUACGGUCGACCAAAUUGAUUUCUGGGCCACUUCGUACCUUGUCACAGUGAAAAUCAAUUUGAAGCUGUUAGAGAUCUCUUAUUAUUAUCACUGUGACAACGUACGAAGUGGCCCAGAAAUCAAAUUUAUCUAUUUAAAUUGUUAUGUUUGAAACAUUUUAUCUAUAAAUGAAAAUAGUAGGCCAUUCUAUUUUCUAAAAUCAUUGUAGAUUGCAUGGAGCGGAAUUUUAGUUGUCAGUUUGGGGUUCUUAGGAGGUAAACAACCUAAGAGUACUCGACCCUGAGAGGUCAGCUUGACCCCUAAAUUCAUGAUGUAAGCUUGAAAAGCACAGAGCGCGGCACAGCGUCGUUGCGUGGCGGAGACGGUUUUUUGGUGAAGCCAACGCGGUCCGGGGGACGUCCUAUCAAAAAAUGAAGCAGUAAUGACAGUCGAUAGUUUCGGAAAGAUCAAAAAUGCAAAACCGCCUCCGCGCCGCACCGUGCCGCGCCUGCUCUGUGCGUUUCGACCUGUAGGCUGCAGUAAUGAUUUGUUAAUACUUAGUAAUUUUAUUUUGUAUAUUGAUAAUUUGUUUUAUUUGUAAGGAAGCGAUAUUUCAUUUUAAUUUUAUUGUAAUCUUUUCUUUUCAACGCUCUGUCAAAUACAAAUAGGUGGCACUCACACGCCAUGACAUCAAAAUAUCAAACACGUCGCAGUGACCGAUAUACCUUAGUACCUUACUACGUACAUUUAUGUUUGAAACCUUGGAAAUGCUCAUAAUGAACUCGACGGUAUAGACUGAUAGCAGUACUUUUACCUAUAUACUGCUAUCAGAAUGAAAUAUCGCUCCGCAAAUGGGUCUAAAUUUCCCAAAAAAAACCUGUUUCCAGUAUAGAAUGUAGAACAUUUUGUCAGCUUUCAAAUAUUUUUCUAGGCAUAUCCUAAUAAGCGAAAAACAAUAACUUGAUUUGCCUUAAGGCUCAUUUUAAUUUACACAGAGAUGGCAAGAUUUAUUUCAAAAUAUUACUUAAACUAUAAGUUAUGAAGGAAUGUACCAAACUGUAAUUGUAAUAAGUAAUAAAAGACUAUGAUAGUGUUAA